GCCGGCCGGUUUUGGUCACUCGAACCAACCCCAUUCUAAAGAUGAUCUUCUUGAUACUAAAACAAGUUAGUGGUCCCACAGUGGCCAGUGUUUUCUUCAGUGCAACGUCAGCGGUCAAGGGUUGAAGUUUGAAAUGCGAUUUAAAAAUGGAACGAAGGAAUUUGAAUUAAGAAUCUUAAGCAUUCUUGAUAAAUCGAAAACUUCGCAACUAUUGAAUUGAAACAAAAAUUUUAAUUCUUAUUUUUUAAAUAUAGAACGUAUAUUUUAUUGUUUUGUUUACAUUGUUGUUGUUUUGUUGAAAUUGUUUGUUUUAUUUAAAAUUCAGUGCAAAUUGAACAUUCGUGUGAAGUGAUCGGUUACAAUGUGUUUAUAUUAAAUUCGAAGUUUGAAUGUUCUUAGCACAAAAUCAUCUCGAUCGACAUCAAGGAACUCAAAAAAAAACCAAUUGUGAUAGAAAUGGAUUGAUGAAGAGAAUACAUAGAUGUAUACCCAAAAAUAUCAAGAUAUUGGAAAUUCGAUUACAACUGUAUAUCUUGGUCACGGCGUAAAAUAAUGUGUAUUAUUCAUAUCCCCGAUCCAAAAAUUGAAAUAAGAACCGCUAUGCAAAGCUCAAUCUUCAAUGAUGGUAUAAUUGCAGUGGUACUAAACCCAAAAAGGAAAUUAGGACGGGUAUUAAGCUACAAUUUUAUAUGUCGCACGUGUGAAAAAAUGCAUGUUCCAUUGUUAAAGGCUCUUAGUACCUAUUGAGAUAAUUUGCAGCUACGUGGGCACUGAAUUGGAUAUCCUACUUAACAAAGUGAAUUUCUAAGCGAGAAAUAAGCUCCAGCCAAUACGUCCGCCAUCUUGAAGGAAAACACAAAGAUGCUGAAUGGAGAAAUUUUCUUGUGUAAUUUUCACGCUUUUCCGCCCUCGGCACACCACCCUCCCCCCCACCCUCGGAGGUAAUUUCCUAACGGCCAUUCCAUCAUGAUCUGUGCUUUAGCGUUUAAAAUGCCGUUCUCGCCGGAUUUCACGAGGAAUGAAGGUUCAAAAUAAUCUGGAUAACCUUAUAUGUUUGUAAUAAUAUUUUGUAUUCAUGGAAGUGUAAGUUUUUAAUUGAUUUAUAAUUAAUGUAUUGCAUAGUGCUGAAC